ACACUCCUGCGGGAGGCAGCAGUGGGGAAUUUUGGACAAUGGGCGAAAGCCUGAUCCAGCCAUGCCGCGUGCAGGAUGAAGGCCUUCGGGUUGUAAACUGCUUUUGUACGGAACGAAACGGCCUUUUCUAAUAAAGAGGGCUAAUGACGGUACCGUAAGAAUAAGCACCGGCUAACUACGUGCCAGCAGCCGCGGUAAUACGUAGGGUGCAAGCGUUAAUCGGAAUUACUGGGCGUAAAGCGUGCGCAGGCGGUUAUGUAAGACAGUUGUGAAAUCCCCGGGCUCAACCUGGGAACUGCAUCUGUGACUGCAUAGCUAGAGUACGGUAGAGGGGGAUGGAAUUCCGCGUGUAGCAGUGAAAUGCGUAGAUAUGCGGAGGAACACCGAUGGCGAAGGCAAUCCCCUGGACCUGUACUGACGCUCAUGCACGAAAGCGUGGGGAGCAAACAGGAUUAGAAACCCUUGUAGUCCCA
rnacentral:rRNA from 1 species